rnacentral:rRNA from 1 species
UGGGGAAUAUUGCGCAAUGGGGGAAACCCUGACGCAGCGACGCCGCGUGGGUGAUGAAGGCCUUCGGGUUGUAAAGCUCUGUCGGCUGGGAAAAAGGUUACCGUGCUAACACCACGGAAGCUUGAUGGUACCAGCAAAGGAAGCACCGGCUAACUCUGUGCCAGCAGCCGCGGUAAUACAGAGGGUGCAAGCGUUGUUCGGAAUUACUGGGCGUAAAGGGCGUGUAGGCGGCUUGGUAAGUCAGAUGUGA